UACAAGUGCAAAAGUGAUGAA
rnacentral:siRNA from 1 species